AUGCUGAGUUGGAACUGCCGGGGGCUUGGGAACCCCGAGGUAGUUCGAGAGCUUCACAGCAUUGUGAAGCAAGAAGGGCCCGUCCUGGUUUUUGUUAUGGAAACAAAGAUCAGAGGGAAACGUGUCGAGAGACUUCAACAGACCUUAGGGUUUGCUGGUUGCUUUGCUAUUGACAGCGCGGGGUUAAGUGGAGGCCUGGGUCUCUUC
rnacentral:rRNA from 1 species